GUUUGAUCAUGGCUCAGAACGAACGCUGGCGGCAUGCUUAACACAUGCAAGUCGAACGAGACUUCGGGUCUAGUGGCGCACGGGUGCGUAACGCGUGGGAAUCUGCCCUUAGGUACGGAAUAACUCAGAGAAAUUUGUGCUAAUACCGUAUGAUGUCGCAAGACCAAAGAUUUAUCGCCUAAGGAUGAGCCCGCGUAAGAUUAGCUUGUUGGUGAGGUAAAAGCUCACCAAGGCGACGAUCUUUAGCUGGUCUGAGAGGAUGAUCAGCCACACUGGGACUGAGACACGGCCCAGACUCUACGGGAGGCAGCAGUGGGGAAUAUUGGACAAUGGGCGAAAGCCUGAUCCAGCAAUGCCGCGUGAGUGAUGAAGGCCUUAGGGUUGUAAAGCUCUUUUACCAGGGAUGAUAAUGACAGUACCUGGAGAAUAAGCUCCGGCUAACUCCGUGCCAGCAGCCGCGGUAAUACGGAGGGAGCUAGCGUUGUUCGGAAUUACUGGGCGUAAAGAGUACGUAGGCGGUGAUUCAAGUCAGAGGUGAAAGCCUGGAGCUCAACUCCAGAACUGCCUUUGAAACUAGAUCGCUAGAAUCAUGGAGAGGUUAGUGGAAUUCCGAGUGUAGAGGUGAAAUUCGUAGAUAUUCGGAAGAACACCAGUGGCGAAGGCGACUAACUGGACAUGUAUUGACGCUGAGGUAC
rnacentral:rRNA from 1 species